UGGGGAAUAUUGGACAAUGGGCGCAAGCCUGAUCCAGCCAUGCCGCGUGAGUGAUGAAGGCCCUAGGGUUGUAAAGCUCUUUCACCGGUGAAGAUAAUGACGGUAACCGGAGAAGAAGCCCCGGCUAACUUCGUGCCAGCAGCCGCGGUAAUACGAAGGGGGCUAGCGUUGUUCGGAUUUACUGGGCGUAAAGCGCACGUAGGCGGACUUUUAAGUCAGGGGUGAAAUCCCGGGGCUCAACCCCGGAACUGCCUUUGAUACUGGAAGUCUUGAGUAUGGUAGAGGUGAGUGGAAUUCCGAGUGGAGAGGUGAAAUUCGUAGAUAUUCGGAGGAACACCAGUGGCGAAGGCGGCUCACUGGACCAUUACUGACGCUGGGGUGCGAAAGCGUGGGGAGCAAACAGG
rnacentral:rRNA from 1 species